CACUCCUGCGGGAGGCAGCAGUGGGGAAUAUUGGACAAUGGGCGCAAGCCUGAUCCAGCCAUGCCGCGUGAGUGAUGAAGGCCCUAGGGUUGUAAAGCUCUUUCACCGGAGAAGAUAAUGACGGUAUCCGGAGAAGAAGCCCCGGCUAACUUCGUGCCAGCAGCCGCGGUAAUACGAAGGGGGCUAGCGUUGUUCGGAAUUACUGGGCGUAAAGCGCACGUAGGCGGAUCGAUCAGUCAGGGGUGAAAUCCCAGGGCUCAACCCUGGAACUGCCUUUGAUACUGUCGAUCUGGAGUAUGGAAGAGGUGAGUGGAAUUCCGAGUGUAGAGGUGAAAUUCGUAGAUAUUCGGAGGAACACCAGUGGCGAAGGCGGCUCACUGGUCCAUUACUGACGCUGAGGUGCGAAAGCGUGGGGAGCAAACAGGAUUAGAAACCCUUGUAGUCC
rnacentral:rRNA from 1 species